CUGUUUCUGUCUUUCCUUUCUGAACCCUCUCCUUGUCAACAUUGGAGAAAUUCUGGACAUCUGCAAACCUGUUUUCCUCCAAUAAAAUUAGAAUCUACCUAAUGCUGAUGAUAAUCUCCUGCUUACAAAGAGAGUUAUGCUUUUUGGCUGAAUUAGUGAAUCGUGUUUCCUGACAAGUACGUGUGAUUAUUGAGGUCCUGAAUUUUUAGUUGAUCAACUAAAUCAAGGUGUAUGCAUUCCGUUUCAGUUCUUUCAAAGGACAGGAAAUAGGGAAUGAAAAGGUGAUUGCCAUUCUUGAUCUGCAAAAGCUAAGUUACAAGAAUGUUGAUGUACGUGGAUUCAUCACUGGAUUUCAGUUUUUACAGGCUUACUAUCCUGAGCGCCUGGCCAAGCUCUUCAUUCUGAAUAUGCCAGGGUUCUUUGUCAGUGUUUGGAGAAUGAUUUCUCGAUUCCUCGAGAAGGCAACACUGGAAAAGAUCGUGAUUGUGAGCAACGAAGAUGAACGAGAACAACUCUUCAAGGAAAUUGGCGCCGAAGUCUUGCCCGAAGAAUAUGGUGGGCAAGCAAAGCUUGUGCCCAUACAGGAUGUUGUUUUGCCCCCUUUGGAUAAUUAAUUUUAGUGACUGGAUAAAAAAAUCUUCAUUUCUUGGUUAAAAAGGGGAAGU